rnacentral:rRNA from 1 species
ACUGCUCAGUAACACGUGGAUAAUCUACCCUUAGGUCUGGAAUAACCCCGGGAAACUGGGGAUAAUACCGGAUAGAUCAUAGAUGCUGGAAUGCCCUAUGUUCUAAAGCUCCGGCGCCUAAGGAUGAGUCUGCGGUCUAUCAGGUUGUAGUGGGUGUAACGUACCUACUAGCCGACGACGGAUACGGGUUGUGAGAGCAAGAGCCCGGAGAUGGAUUCUGAGACACGAAUCCAGGCCCUACGGGGUGCAGCAGGCGCGAACACUUUACAAUGCGGGAAACCGCGAUAAGGGAACCCCGAGUGCCAGCACCAAGUGUUGGCUGUCCGGAUGAUUAAAUCUCAUUUGUUAGCAAGGGCCGGGCAAGACCGGUGCCAGCCGCCGCGGUAACACCGGCGGCCCGAGUGGUAACCGUUUUUAUUGGGUCUAAAGGGUCCGUAGCCGGUCUGAUCAGUCUUUUGGGAAAUCUGGCAGCUUAACUGUCAGGCUUCUAAGAGAUACUGUCAGGCUUGGGACCGGGAGAGGUAAGGGGUACUCCAAGGGUAGGAGUGAAAUCUUGUAAUCCUUGGGGGACCAUCUGUGGCGAAGGCGCCUUACCAGAACGGGUCCGACGGUGAGGGACGAAAGCUAGGGGAGCAAACCGGAUUAGAUACCCGGGUAGUCCUAGCUGUAAACGAUGCUCGCUAGGUGUCAGGCACGGUGCGUCCGUGUUUGGUGCCGUAGGGAAGCCGAGAAGCGAGCCACCUGGGAAGUACGGUCGCAAGGCUGAAACUUAAAGGAAUUGGCGGGGGAGCACUACAACGGGUGGAGCCUGCGGUUUAAUUGGAGUCAACGCCGGG